GGAGAUGGUGUGUAGAGGCUGGUGGGUAGGAUUCUGAUUUAUUGCUAUUGCAUAUUGUAUCUGAGAUGGGCCAAGGCCCUAAAUUAUAUCUGAGACUAUAUCUGAAUGGGCCUUGAUUGAAUCUGUAAUCGGCUCAGGCCCCAAAUUGCAAUUGAUUAUUUCCUGAUGUGUAUUUGUAUGUAUGUUUUCUGUGGGGGUUAC
rnacentral:lncRNA from 1 species